rnacentral:rRNA from 1 species
GUGGGGAAUCUUCCGCAAUGGACGAAAGUCUGACGGAGCAACGCCGCGUGAGUGAAGAAGGUUUUCGGAUCGUAAAGCUCUUUCGUUAGGGACGAACGUGCUCUUUGUGAAUAAUGAGGAGUAAUGACGGUACCUAAAUAAGAAGCCACGGCUAACUACGUGCCAGCAGCCGCGGUAAUACGUAGGUGGCAAGCGUUGUCCGGAAUUAUUGGGCGUAAAGCGCGCGCAGGCGGGAUAUCAAGUCUGUCUUAAAAGUGCGAGGCUCAACCUCGUGAGGGGACAGAAACUGGUAUUGUUGAGUGUCGGAGAGGAAAGUGGAAUUCCAAGUGUAGCGGUGAAAUGCGUAGAGAUUUGGAAGAACACCAGUGGCGAAGGCGACUUUCUGGACGAUGUCUGACGCUGAGGCGCGAAAGCUAGGGGAGCGAACGGGAUUAGAAACCCGAGUAGUCC